rnacentral:rRNA from 1 species
UGGGGAAUAUUGCACAAUGGGCGCAAGCCUGAUGCAGCCAUGCCGCGUGUGUGAAGAAGCCUUCGGUUGUAAGCACUUUCAGCGAGGAGGAAGGUGGUGAGCUUAAUACGCUCAUCAAUUGACGUUACUCGCAGAAGAAGCACCGGCUAACUCCGUGCCAGCAGCCGCGGUAAUACGGAGGGUGCAAGCGUUAAUCGGAAUUACUGGGCGUAAAGCGCACGCAGGCGGUUUGUUAAGUCAGAUGUGAAAUCCCCGGGCUCAACCUGGGAACUGCAUUUGAAACUGGCAAGCUAGAGUCUCGUAGAGGGGGGUAGAAUUCCAGGUGUAGCGGUGAAAUGCGUAGAGAUCUGGAGGAAUACCGGUGGCGAAGGCGGCCCCCUGGACGAAGACUGACGCUCAGGUGCGAAAGCGUGGGGCAGCAAACAGGAUUAGAUACCCUGGUAGUCCAGCGCUGUAAACGAUGUCGAUUUUGGAGGUUGUGCCCUUGAGGCGUGGCUUCCGGAGCUAACGCGUUAAAUCGACCGCCUGGGGAGUACGGCCGCAAGGUUAAAACUCAAAGGAAUUGAC